AGGAAAGUGCCACUGAAUAGGAGAGGAAGAGUCCUGGAAGAUGCAUCCAGAGAUGAAAAGGCAAGAACCUCCAGGUGGCCUCUACAGCAGUUCAAGUCAUAUUACUAAGAAAUGGCACCAGCCCAGCAUGGUGGCUCAUGCCUGUAAUCCCAGCACUUUGGGAGGCCGAGGUGGGUGGAUCACCUGAGGUUGGGAGUUCGAGACCAGCCUGACCAACAUGAAGAAACCCCGUCUCUACUAAAAAUACAAAAUUAGCCGUGCACGGUGCCACAUAUCUGUAAUUCUGACUACUUGUGAGGCUGUGGGAGGAGAAUUGCUCGAACCCCGGAGGCAGAGGUUGUGGUGAGCCGAGAUUGUGCCGUUGCACUCCAGCCUGGGCAACAAGAGCAAAACUCAGUCUCAAACAAACAAACAAAAAAGAAAUUGCUGAAAGGCAUAGUCAGAUUCUACUACUAGAGCGAGCUGCCAUGUAAGAAAAGGUACCACCUGUUGGGAUUCAUUCAGGGUUGUUGGCAAAAUAUUAGGGAAAGUUAUAACAUAUAGUCUCAAACCUUUUGGAAGUCCAAAAGGUUUUCCUAACUUGUAAUAGUGGAACAGGCUGAAGGCAGCCGGUUCUUACCUUAGAGCAUUAGGUCAUAGGGUAAAGAUUAGGAUAAUAGAAGCUUCCUCAGUUAAGUCUGUGUACCCCACAUUCCUUUGUCUCUAUACUGUUUACUCAUGUGGUCUUAAAACUAACCUUUGGGCCGGAUGGCCCUCUUGGGGGUAGGUUAACCAGGGAUAUUAUCCUUUAAUGGUGUUUGCCCUGGGCAUUGGUACCUGAGCUUUAGUCUUUCGGAAAAACGACUCUUUUAAUCAUGUUAAUUAUCCACAAGUGUGUUUCCUCAAAGCCUUUGUUGUUAAAUCUAUACUAAAUAAAUGUGAGGAAGGAGAACUA